CGCGCAGUAUGUUCUCCCAGAUGAAGCUUUAAUCUAUAUCGUACAUCUCUGCUGCUGUAAAUUCAUGCUCCAUUAUACCACCAUAUGCUUGGCUUCGCUCAGAGAAAGCUGCAGUAAUCCUAAUACUUCAUCUCGCUUUAUAGAUAUUUGUGUUGCGGCUUUCACUGCAUAUUGUUUGCUCACACACUUAAAGGUUAUGUCUUAAUAAGUUGUUCUGGAUGAGUUUAUUAGCAGGGAGCUGGCAGUUGAUGAGGUUUUGUGUUUUGAGAAGGUGUUGUAGUUAUUGCCAAUUACGAUAUGAGGCUCAGGAAGCAAAAAGGGAGAGUUUGGUUCAUUAAAGAAAUCUGGAGGCAACAGUGCUUUAGGUUGUGUAUAAUUUUUGGCUUGUCAGAUGCCUGGUUUCUUUUUCAGCUGCUCCCAGGUAGAGAUAAUUUCCUCUGCAAACCGGGCAGUUCUAAAUGCAAAAGCAUAAAAGGAUGGACCAAGGUUCUUCAGAAUCAGUUGAGUUGUUUAUAGUGUUCAGAACUAUUAGUUGUGAUGCUGAAAUAGCGGAUUUCUGAAAAUUCUAGAUGCUUUUGAUAUAUCCACAGAAUUCUGUGUAUUAUUUAUAUUGAUGAAGGAUGGUAAACAGAAAAUAGAUGCUUUAAAAAGACUGGUUUUUUCUAUUUUUUAAACUUAUACUCUCUAUUAUUUAGGACUAUCAGCUGUCAGAAAUGCUCAGUAUGUGUCGGUUUGCAAGUAAUUAUGCACUAUGUGUACAUUAGGAAUUCAGCAGAGUUCUCAGGACUACUUGAGAUUCAGAGUAGGAAUUAAUUUGAAUGAGAGAAUUGUAUUGACAGUUUAGAACCAUUGCAUUGGGCUGAGCAGAUUCAGCACUGCCUGUAAGAGAAGAUCAGAAUUGUCCUCCUUAGCUCUUCUUGCAGCUGAACAUUGCUUGUUCUGAAACACAUCUCCCAGCUCCCCCAAAAAAUCUGAACUAUGAAUUACAGUCAAGGUGUGCUGAGAAGGCCCGAGCUGACCCCGCAGAGCUUUGGCUGUUCCACACACCUGGGAGCUGUUCUGGGAGAGAGGAGCAGAGCAGGACAGAAGGGAAUAUCGUAACUGUGCUAUGAGGAAGGCAGGGGAGCUGCUGCCUGAGCCCUGCUUCACCUGCAGUUAUUUCCAACAGAAUUAAACAAGAGGAUGAAAUGGAGAAGACCGCUACCUGCUGAGCACUUGGAUUUUUCAUUCUGAGUCUCCCAUAGCCUUCCUACUUGAUCCUGGACUGCCAAUUCCCCAAAAAGA